rfam:Ictidomys tridecemlineatus contig060694, whole genome shotgun sequence.
AGGGAUGUGGCUCAGUGAUAGAGUGCUUGCCUCACAUACAUGAGGUCUUGAGUUUGAUUCUCAACACCACGA